rnacentral:rRNA from 1 species
ACCCNCGNNNAAUCUUACCNCUCCUUGUAUAAUAAAUAUUUUCCUUAAGGGAUUGUUUUGACUUUGAGGAACUUUAAUUAAAUAAUAACAUAUAUACUUAUGAUAAGUCUUUAAACUUACUUAUAUAUAUUUGUAAUACGUCAUCUAAACUUAUAUUAAUAAUAAUUCAAUAGUUAUUAUUGAAUCGAUGACAUAAUUGUUGUUAAUGUGAUGGAUAGUAAUAAUAAUUAAAUAUUGUUAUGGGUGUGNGUAACAUUAGUAAUAAUAACUAAUUAUUACCAUUAUAAACCACAGUAAUAAUAAUUGAUUAAAUAAUUAAAUGGAAUGAAUGAUUAAGCAAUUAGUAAUUCAUUAAUAUUUAUUACAGGUGUUGCAUGGCUGUCUUUAGUUCGUGUUGUGAAAUGUUAGGUUAAUUCCGAAAACGAACGCAAUCCUUAUCUUUAUUUAAAACUAUAUAAAGAGGUAUCUUUCCAUAAGAAGGAAUAAUUAGGGUGAAGACAAGUCCUCAUGACCCUUAUGGAGUGGGCUACAGACGUGCCACAAAUAUUUCUACAAAGGGAAGCAAAGAUGAAAGUCUGAGCUAAUCCUCAAAAGAAAUAAAAGUACGGAUNAGANUC